UCCUUGAAGGGAGGCACUGCAGAUUUUGUGACAGGUGUUGGUUACAGCAAAGCACCGUGGUACACUUUUGGCCAAGGGACCAAGCUAGAGAUUAAACGCAAUGAUGCCACACCUUCAGCAUCCAUUUUCCCUCCCUCAGAGGAGCAACUUAAAACCAGCUCGGCAACUGUAGUGUGCCUGAUUGACGGCUUCUAUCCGGGUGACUUGGGUGUGGUCUGGAAAAUGGAUGGCACUACUGCCACGACCAAGCAGGUCCAGACCAGUUCUGCGGCAAGGAAUACAGACCAGACUUACAGACUCAGCAGCACCCUGGCGCUCUCCACAGAAGAAUAUAAUUCCCAUGAAGAGUAUACUUGUGAAGUGACGCACAAAACUUUGUCCCAGCCCCUGGUGAAGAGUUUCACAAGGACUGGGUGUUCUGGUUAGGAAAGGACCCCACAAUGCAGAGAUACCCCCCACUAGCAUAGUAGCUCCUGUAAUGCAAUGUAUCUUCUAUUUCUCUCAUUAGAACCUCCUUCUGUUUCAGCUACAAAACAACUAUCUGUAUCAGAAAUUGUAUUACUUCCUAGGCAUUAUGAUGAAACCAAGAGGCCUACAAAGUCUCGUAUUUUCUUCUUGAAUCACAGUAUGUGACUUCUAACAUUGCCUAAUCUGUGUCCCGCUUUUAUCAAGGUAAUCUCAGAAAAUAAAAUGAAUACAUAAAUAAAGGCAUUUAAUUUAAAAGCA